rnacentral:rRNA from 1 species
UACGGAAGGGGCAAGCGUUGUUCGGAAUCAUUGGGCGUAAAGGGCGCGUAGGUGGUUCUGUAUGUCUACCGUGAAAGCAUACAGCUCAACUGUAUUUUGUCGGUAGAAACUGCAGGACUUGAGGCUGGGAGGGGCUGGUGGAAUUCCCUGUGUAGCGGUGAAAUGCGCAGAUAUCAGGAAGAACACCCGUGGCGAAGGCGGUUCUCUGGGACGGUACUGACGCUGAGACGCGAAAGCGUGGGGAGCGAACAGG